CUCAUGCUUGAGGCUACAGCCCAACG
rnacentral:tRNA from 1 species